GUGAAUAUGCCCUUAAUGGGACUAGGAUCUUGGCAGCUGUAAUCAAAUUAAGAUUAGGUCAUACUGGAUUAUGGUGGGCCCCAACCCAAUGACCCAUGUCCCCAUAAAAUGAGGGAAAUUCGGACAUAGGCACCCGGAGAGGAGAAUGCCACGUUAAGAGAGAGAGACACACAGGGAAGACAGGCAUGGGAAAAGGAGGGAUGUAUCAGUAUGAGGAAUCCGCAAAUCAAAGAUUGUAAGCAUUGCCAGCAAUCUCCAGAAGUUAGGAAGAGGCAAGGCAAGAUAAUUCUCUAGAAGCUUCAAGGGGAGCAUGGCCCUGCCCAUGCUUUGAUUUUGGACUUCUGGCCUCCAGAACUGUGAGAGAAGACAUUUCUGCUGUUUCAAGCCACUCUUUUUGUGGUACUUUGUUAUGUCAGCCCUAGGAAACCAAUAGAGUAGGUGAUGAAUAAAUGUCUGCUGAGUGAUUAAAUGAGCGAAUGGAGAAAUGAACGAGUGAAUGAAUGAAAACACCAAGUCCAAAGGGGUUCAGAGGCGGGCUGUGGGUGAACUCAGAUGCACUGAGACAGCGCAGAGGCAGCGUCUGUGAAGGAGGCAGGUCCUGAGAGCUCACUGAGAGUGACACUGGGACACCUGCCCCUUUUCUUUCUCAACCGCCCACUCAUAAUCUUACAAGAAGGUCAGCCCCAGGGCAGAAGAUGCAGAGAUGUAGAAUUAUGCAAUAUUGGGCGUGACAGUGGCUCUGCUACCUUAGGCUGUGUGGGGAAGAAGUUUCCCAUGUCAUGUUUGGAACUCUCAAGGCAGAAUCGCCACAUGAGUGACACAGGGUAAUUGUUGCUGUGGGCUAGGGCGUGGCGAUGAUUGUUGCUGGCCCGGGCGUUAUGGCCGAGGGUGAGUGGACAGGACUCAGGGACAAACAAGGGUCUGAUCCACCCUCAAAAAGCACUAAGAGCAGACAAGGAAGGCCCAGAAAUUGGCGAGGCUGGUGUGGGCUGGGGAAUGGCAGCGUAGACACUAACCCCAAACUGGAUGCUCCCCAUUGUGCCUUCACUCUCUGAAGGGCUGUGUGCAGCGGAGCCGCCCUCAUGAGGGAGGCAGCAGAGAUCCGGGGUCCCACCCUUCCGUCCCCUGCAUAAGCAAAGUCACUUUUGGGGAGAAAACUUCCAGUAUCUGUUCAAAGUCACCUUUUCUUUGAUGAUUUGCUCAAUGUAUUGAUAGUGUUCUCCUAUCAAUCAUUUGCAGCCUUUUUUUAAAUAUCCAAG
rnacentral:lncRNA from 1 species